rnacentral:rRNA from 1 species
UACGAAGGGGGCUAGCGUUGCUCGGAAUCACUGGGCGUAAAGGGUGCGUAGGCGGGUUUUUAAGUCAGGGGUGAAAUCCUGGAGCUCAACUCCAGAACUGCCUUUGAUACUGAAGAUCUUGAGUCCGGGAGAGGUGAGUGGAACUGCGAGUGUAGAGGUGAAAUUCGUAGAUCUUCGCAAGAACACCAGUGGCGAAGGCGGCUCACUGGCCCGGUACUGACGCUGAGGCACGAAAGCGUGGGGAGCAAACAGG